AGAGAGGCUUCCACGGCUUGCCGUUCGGGGGCCUUUUUCUUUUGC
rfam:Mesorhizobium huakuii 7653R plasmid pMHb, partial sequence.